rnacentral:rRNA from 1 species
UACGUAGGUGGCAAGCGUUGUUCGGAAUUAUUGGGCGUAAAGGGCUCGUAGGCGGUUUGUCGCGUCGGGAGUGAAAACCCAGGGCUUAACUCUGGGCUUGCUUUCGAUACGGGCAGACUAGAGGUAUGCAGGGGAGAACGGAAUUCCUGGUGUAGCGGUGAAAUGCGCAGAUAUCAGGAAGAACACCGGUGGCGAAGGCGGUUCUCUGGGCAUUACCUGACGCUGAGGAGCGAAAGUGUGGGGAGCGAACAGG